rnacentral:rRNA from 1 species
UAUGCGAAGGGGAGCGGUAAAAUGCAAUAAUCCUUUGCAGACCACCUGUGGCGAAGGCGUCUGACCAGAACGGAUUCGACGGUGAGGGACGAAAGCUGGGGGAGCGAACCGGAUUAGAUACCCGAGUAGUCCCAGCUGUAAACGCUGCGAGCUAGGUGUUGCAUAUUCUAUAUGAAUAUGCAGUGUCGAAGCGAAGGUGAUAAGCUCGCCGCCUGGGAAGUACGGUCGCAAGGCUGAAACUUAAAGGAAU